AGACCCAUUCCUUUCAUUCUUUUUCUCUUUUUCUUCACUUCUUCUUCCUCCUCUCCGUCCGGUCGCCCAGAUCUUGCGCCCAGCCCACAUCAAAUCAGCCCAAAACUCCUCCAAAGCUGAGAUUUUCUCUCAUUCCUCUUCCAUUUGUGGUAUUUUUUUAUUAUUUUUUUUCUUGCUGUUCAUAAAAUCCAUGCUUUUCCUCUCUUAAUAUUUUUU
rnacentral:lncRNA from 1 species